UACGUAGGGGGCGAGCGUUGCCCGGAUUUAUUGGGCGUAAAGAGCGUGUAGGCGGCCAAGUAAGUCCGGUGUGAAAACUCGAGGCUUAACCUCGAGAUGUCAUCGGAAACUAUUUGGCUAGAGUCCGGAAGAGGAGAGUGGAAUUCCUGGUGUAGCGGUGAAAUGCGCAGAUAUCAGGAAGAACACCUAUGGCGAAAGCAGCUCUCUGGGACGGUACUGACGCUGAGACGCGAAAGCGUGGGGAGCGAACAGG
rnacentral:rRNA from 1 species